CGCUGGGAUGGAUUCCUCCUCGUCUUCCUCGGCGGCGGGCUUGGACACUGUGGACCCACAGUUGCAGCAUUUCAUCGAGGUGGAGACACAGAAGCAGCGCUUUCAACAGCUAGUGCACCAGAUGGUGGAACUUUGUUGGGAAAAGUGCAUGGACAAGCCUGGGCCAAAGUUGGACAGUCAGGCUGAGGCCUGUUUUGUGAACUGUUGAGCGCUUCAUUGAUACAAGCCAAUUCAUCUUGAAUCGACUGGAACAGACCCAGAAAUCCAAGCCAGUUUUCUCAGAAAGCCUUUCUGACUGA